CCUACGGGUGGCAGCAGUGAGGAAUAUUGGUCAAUGGACGAGAGUCUGAACCAGCCAAGUAGCGUGAAGGAUGACUGCCCUAUGGGUUGUAAACUUCUUUUAUUUGGGAAUAAAAUGUUCCACGUGUGAGAUUUUGUAUGUACCAUAUGAAUAAGGAUCGGCUAACUCCGUGCCAGCAGCCGCGGUAAUACGGAGGAUCCGAGCGUUAUCCGGAUUUAUUGGGUUUAAAGGGAGCGUAGGUGGAUUGUUAAGUCAGUUGUGAAAGUUUGCGGCUCAACCGUAAAAUUGCAGUUGAAACUGGCAGUCUUGAGUACAGUAGAGGUGGGCGGAAUUCGUGGUGUAGCGGUGAAAUGCUUAGAUAUCACGAAGAACUCCGAUUGCGAAGGCAGUUCACUGGACUGCAACUGACACUGAGGCUCGAAAGUGUGGGUAUCAAACAGGAUUAGAUACCCCAGUAGUC
rnacentral:rRNA from 1 species